GACGAACGCUGGCGGCGUGCUUAACACAUGCAAGUCGAACGAAGAGCGAUGGAAGCUUGCUUCUAUCAAUCUUAGUGGCGAACGGGUGAGUAACGCGUAAUCAACCUGCCCUUCAGAGGGGGACAACAGUUGGAAACGACUGCUAAUACCGCAUACGAUCUAAUCUCGGCAUCGAGGAUAGAUGAAAGGUGGCCUCUACAUGUAAGCUAUCACUGAAGGAGGGGAUUGCGUCUGAUUAGCUAGUUGGAGGGGUAACGGCCCACCAAGGCGAUGAUCAGUAGCCGGUCUGAGAGGAUGAACGGCCACAUUGGGACUGAGACACGGCCCAG
rnacentral:rRNA from 1 species